UACGGAGGGUGCAAGCGUUAUCCGGAUUCACUGGGUUUAAAGGGUGCGUAGGAGGGCAGGGAAGUCAGUGGUGAAAUCUCCGGGCUUAACUCAGAAACUGCCGUUGAUACUCUCUGUCUUGAAUCCCGUGGAGGUGAGCGGAAUAUGUCAUGUAGCGGUGAAAUGCUUAGAUAUGACAUAGAACACCGAUUGCGAAGGCAGCUCGCUACACGAAGAUUGACUCUGAGGCACGAAAGCGUGGGGAUCAAACAGG
rnacentral:rRNA from 1 species